UACGUAGGCAGCAAGCGUUGUUCGGAGUUACUGGGCGUAAAGAGUGCGUAGGCGGUGCUCUAAGUUUGGUGUGAAAUCUCCCGGCUUAACUGGGAGGGUGCGCCGGAAACUGGAGUGCUUGAGCGCGGGAGAGGAAAGCGGAAUUCCUGGUGUAGCGGUGAAAUGCGUAGAUAUCAGGAGGAACACCUGUGGUGUAGACGGCUUUCUGGACCGUAGCUGACGCUGAGACACGAAAGCGUGGGUAGCAAACAGG
rnacentral:rRNA from 1 species